rnacentral:RNase_P_RNA from 1 species
UAAGCAGGCAGUUCUAUCGCUUCGUUUUACGGGGAGGAAAGUCCGGACAACACAGGGCACUGCGCUUCUGAAACAGAAGAUAUCCGUGAGGGUAUGGUAACGGAGAAGAAAAUAACAGCCUUGGCAACAGGGUAAUGGUGAGAAGGUGGGGUAAGAGCCCACCGGUAAUGGUGGCGACAUCGUUAGCCGUUCGUCCUGCAGGUUGCAAGACCAUGUAUAUCGGCGUUGUGUUUUACACAGAAAGGUUGCCCGCCUAAGCCGAGGGGUAGGUCGCAUUAGAUAAAUGGUAGAAGCUUUUCUGUGGAAAAGUACAGAAUCCGGCUUAUAUGCCUGCUUUUAUU